CUUUAUAUUUGCCUCAUACAUAAAUACUCCUCUUAUGGUAUUGAAAAACAUUGAGAAACAAAAAUAAAGAAAAGAAGAGGAAACACUAGCGGGUCUCCUCCCUCGUCGACCUCUUCUUUGUUGCCUUUUUCCUACUUGUUUCCUACUUCGUCUUUGUGUUUGUCUUGCGAGUACAUGGAAGAACUCAUUCUAUAGCAUCUCAAGUACAAGUUCUUACAGACAGGAGAGAGAUGCGAAGUAAGAUCAGUUUUGUCUUUUUCAAGCAUUUGUAACGUUUUUUAAUGCAUAUCUGGCUUUAAAUUUUUCCAUGUGUUAAUAUAACUUUGUUCAUCAGCUGGAGAGAGUAAAUAAGCCCACAAAAGCAAUAUUUGCAGCCCACCUACCCAAGCCCAGGAGAAGUUAAAACCUGGGGUUCCUUUCCUACUUUUACCAACGCAUCGGUACAGCAUUCGGAUGUUCUGCUGUCUGUCAGAGAAGCAAUGCCGAGUUGGGAGUCGCUGCAGAUGCAAGGUUUGAAAAAUCCUUUUUCUGCCGUAGAUUUGGUUGCAAGGAGAGCUUCAGCUUAAGCUAUUAGAAGAUUAGUGUAUCCAUGCCUUGUAAGCGGAGCCAUUUAUACCGGAUAAAGCUGCGAUAAUAGAGGAUCCAUGAUCACGAACAGUAGCAUCAUAUGUAAUUUAGAACUUUGAUUGCUGGCUUGGAGAAGUUUUCCUUGACGAAGAAUCCUUGCAUGCAAUAGUUUUACGUACUUGCUUAUAACUGGUUUGAACAGACGAGAUGCAAAUAAAGGGCUGGUUUGGUACUUUACAUGUAUGCAUUUGUUUCUCCAAAAUUAGAGCAUAGCUACUAUCAUAGAAGCAAAUAGGUGAAUUUGUUUCUAGGUCUGAUUCAAGACAGCUCAUUGUUUUUGUUCUGUAGGAGAUAGCUUAACCACUCUUCAAUAGAAUUUCAGUGAUUUUACAUAUAGGAUCCUUACAAUAUAGCAUGCUAAGAACAGGUGACUGCAGGUGUUCUCUUUAGUUCCAUAUAGGUAGCAGUUUGAUGUAUUCUGUGAGAAGAAAUUGACAUACCUGGUAAACUCUUCUGAAUUAUUCUCUAUCACAUAAGUUUGUGUCUCUUUAAAAUUUUUUUGGUUCCAUAUAUAUCUCCAAAUUAAAAGUAGGCAUUAUUUAGACAGGGCUGGUUCGUUGUAGUGAUUUUUUGUAAAAGCAGCGUGGUAGGAAAAUUUGGUUUCAUAUACAUUCUUAGGGUUAAGUGUCCAUCCCCAUUUAUACUUGUUAGGUAAAGCUGGUGAGAGUUUGAUUUGGUGAUAUUUUUUUGGAAAUUUGAUUUGAGAACAUUCUCUGUAGCGGGCUAGUGUUCUACUGAUUACCACUCUCUUCAAUAAGUUGGUUCGCAUGUACAAGACAAGGGCAAUAGAGCAAGGCUUGAACCCUUUAAUGGAAAGGAUCCACGGGUCACACCAUGUACUUGUUCCCUUGCCAUUACCAAUUAGCUUGCAGGAUCCCAAUUUCUGAAUAUCCCUGGGUUUUAGGAUUCUUUUCCAGAAAAAGAAAUCUUGCUUUUCUGGAAAGAGCCAAUAUAAAGAGACACCCUUAGUGUAUUUGGCUUUAAUUAAAUUGAUCCAGGGUUUUGAGAGGUCUUCCUGAAUUUUCUAGCUUAGUUUAGUGAACAAGGGAAGAUUAAAUGAUGCAGAACCCAGAAAAUCAAUAAUGUGAUAAAAAACUCAGACAAUUCUCAUAAAACAUCAAAGACUUAAAUA
rnacentral:lncRNA from 1 species